rnacentral:tRNA from 1 species
AGUUCAAUGGUGUAAUGGUAGCACAACAGUUUUUGGUUCUGUUUGUCUAGGUUCGAAUCCUGGUUGAACUA